rnacentral:rRNA from 1 species
GCAGGCAGACUCUUUACCAUCUGAAUGCACCCGAUCUCAUCUGAUCUUGGAAGCGAAGCAGGGCCAGGCCUGGUUGCUGCUGCU